ACGUACGCUGGCGGCACGCCUAACACAUGCAAGUCGAACGAAGUAGCAAUACUUAGUGGCAGACGGGUGAGUAACAUGUAGGUAUCUGCCCUUUGGCCUGGAAUAACACGAGGAAACUUGUGCUAAUACCGGAUAAGUCUUUACAGAGAAGCUUUAUGCACCAUUGGAUGAGCCUGCACUUGAUUAGUUGUUGGUGGGUAAUGGCCUACCAAGACUGUGAUCAAUAGCUGAUUUGAGAGGAUGAUCAGCCACAUUGGGACUGAGACACGGCCCAAACUCCUACGGGAGGCUGCAGCAGGGAAUAUUGU
rnacentral:rRNA from 1 species